rnacentral:ncRNA from 2 species
CACACCGUUCUGGAAGAGAUCUGCGAUCGCAAGUCGAUUGGCAGACGCCGAAGGCGCAACAUCCGCCCGGAAUCGCUCAGGCUACCGGACCGGAACGGUGCA